rnacentral:lncRNA from 1 species
AUCCUUGGGCGAUCUUGGAUCUUAAUUAGUACACUCACGUUCUCUGUGGAAAAUCGAUACUCUGAAAUACUCCCGGGUGAAAGCUACAUCGGUAUCCGUGCGCUUGCGGAUUUUUUCUGUUUGCGUUUAAAAUACCCAACAAGAAUAUGAAGCACUGAGGUGUAGAAUGCCUCCAGGGAGGGGGGUCAGCCCCUCUAUUUAUAGCCCUGUGGGAUCAACGUGCACCGUAGGAUGAAACCAACUUAACCAAGGGCCAAGAUGCAUCAAAAGAGGUGG